rnacentral:tRNA from 1 species
GAGGUCAGAGCUCAGUAGUAGAGCGCGUGCUUAGCAUACAUGAAGUCCUAGGUUCAACUCCCGGUACCUCC